AGGACGAACGCUGGCGGCGUGCCUAACACAUGCAAGUCGAGCGAGGAGAUCCUCGGGAUGAUCCUAGCGGCGGACGGGUGAGUAACACGUGGGCAACCUGCCUCAUAGAGAGGAAUAGCCUUCCGAAAGGGAGAUUAAUACCUCAUAACAUUGCAGUUUCGCAUGGAACAGCAAUUAAAGGAGUAAUCCGCUAUGAGAUGGGCCCCGCGGCGCAUUAGCUAGUUGGUGAGGUAACGGCUCACCAAGGCGACGAUGCGUAGCCGACCUGAGAGGGUGAUCGGCCACAUUGGGACUGAGACACGGCCCAGACUCCUACGGGAGGCAGCAGUGGGGAAUAUUGCACAAUGGGGGAAACCCUGAUGCAAGCAACGCCGCGUGAGUGAUGACGGCCUUCGGGUUGUAAAGCUCUGUCUUCAGGGACGAUAAUGACGGUACCUGAGGAGGAAGCCACGGCUAACUACGUGCCAGCCGCUGC
rnacentral:rRNA from 1 species